GUGGACGACUUGAUCACAGAGAUAGUGGAGGCCGCCAAAGCCAACUGGGAAAUCAAGUGCGCUCAGAAAAAGAAGUGUCCCUCUUGCGUCAUUGUUUGAGAUUACUCUGAAAUAGACUUCCCCGGUGCUAUUUUCAAAUUUGAUGACCACGUGCCAUGAUAUUGUAUUUUGGUGACGUUGUUUGCAGUUGUUAUUUGUUUAUUUAAAAGAGAUGGUGUCAAACUCUCAGGAGACAUCAUAAGAUAUUUUUUAAUAUGAUGAUCUCAUGACGUAUAACUACAGCAUAGAAACAAUGUGAUAAAGCAAUGGUAUAGUAGUAUGUCGAGGCAGAGUCACAUUCACCGUGCAAUACUGUGACAUUGUGUCAAACGACACGUAUUUAUACAUGUACAUGUAUCAUGCCAAUAUAUGAUAACGACACUGUCUCACUUUAGAGACCAUGUUAUAGCCAAGGAUGCGUUUUACGAGUCUGCCUCGUUUGUGAAUGUCGACUUUGAAGUGUGCUUCACGACUCAGUGAUACGUUUGUAAAAAGCGCUGUUGAUAUUUUAUGAUGACAUUUUUUUUAAACUUUUUUACUGGUUAACAAUAAAAUGAAAUUUAAAUCUU
rnacentral:misc_RNA from 1 species